AACCCCAGCCCCUGGGGUACAGCAGCACGCGGAUGCCGGCGGAACACCGAUACGUCACCGGCGGACAGCGCGCGCAGCUCGCAGCGUGGAUCGGACAGUCCUGCUGCUUCAGAACUCCUCAGAAAAAGGCUGUUCCGGCCCUGUGCAUGUCAGCCGUCCACAUAUCUGGGAAGUCGCCCGAUGGGUAUGGAACCACUUCAUCCUAAAGACGGCGGAACCUUCUCUCUGGAAUGACGGGCUUCUCCCAAAGGAUGUUAACGAUCAUGUCUGAUGGAGGGGAUCCGAUUGGUGCAUCGAGGGCGUCGUCAUAGCUGAUGGCACGCCGGACAAUUCUGAUGGGGAGCCCCUCGGACAUACCCGACUCCAAGGCUGGGAAGUGACAACGAACCAGGAGAAGCAGACAGAGAGAAAUGCUCACACCUCUGAUUAAUUCCUGCAUAAUUCAAAGCAAAAAAGGAUCAUUGGCAAACGUGCUCUAUUUCAAUCCAUAAAUUUGUCACAGCAAGGCUUGGAUUACAUUGUGAUAGGUGAAUAUUUAAAAAUAGCACAUCAGAUGUAUACAGCUGCAAAGACGAAUGUAGUUACCAGGAACGUCCCCCCGUCUGGAUGCCAUAAUGCUGGAAAACUAAGAAAAAACAAAACUGUU